ACGGCUCAGUAACACGUGGUCAAUCUACCCUCAGGACGGAGAUAACCUCGGGAAACUGAGGCUAAUAUCCGAUAGAUAAUGGAUCCUGGAAUGGUUCAUUAUUCAAACGGCACAUUGCUCAUGCGCAGUGUGUCGCCUGAGGAUGAGACUGCACCCUAUCAGGUAGUUGGUGGGGUAAUGGCCCACCAAGCCUAUAACGGGUACGGGCCCUGAGAGGGGGAGCCCGGAGAUGGGCACUGAGACAAGGGCCCAGGCCCUACGGGGCGCAGCAGGCGCGAAACCUCUGCAAUGCGCGAAAGCGCGACAGGGCCACCCCGAGUGCUAGCCGCUGAGGUUAGCUUUUCCUUAGUGUAGUAAGCUAAGGGAAUAAGCGGGGGGCAAGCCUGGUGUCAGCCGCCGCGGUAAUACCAGCUCCGCGAGUGGUCGGGACGAUUAUUGGGCCUAAAGCGUCCGUAGCCGGCCUAUCAAGUCUCUGGUUAAACCUCAAGGCUCAACCUUGAGAUCGCUGGAGAUACUGUUAGGCUAGGGGGCGGGAGAGGUUGAGGGUACUUCGCGGGUAGGGGCGAAAUCCUAUAAUCCGCGAAGGACCACCAGUGGCGAAGGCGCUCAACUGGAACGCGCCCGACGGUGAGGGACGAAAGCCAGGGGAGCAAAGGGGAUUAGAUACCCCCGUAGUCCUGGCUGUAAACGAUGCGGGCUAGGUGUUGGGUUGGCUUCGUGCCAACCCGGUGCCGCAGUGAAGACGAUAAGCCCGCCGCCUGGGAAGUACGGCUGCAAGGCUGAAACUUAAAGGAAUUGGCGGGGGAGCAC
rnacentral:rRNA from 1 species